CAGUAGCCGCGGGAAUACGUAGGUGGCAAGCGUUGUCCGGAAUUAUUGGGCGUAAAGGGCUCGCAGGCGGUUUCUUAAGUCUGAUGUGAAAACCCCCGGCUCAACCGGGGAGGGUCAUUGGAAACUGGGAAACUUGAGUGCAGAAGAGGAGAGUGGAAUUCCACGUGUAGCGGUGAAAUGCGUAGAGAUGUGGAGGAACACCAGUGGCGAAGGCGACUCUCUGGUCUGUAACUGACGCUGAGGAGCGAAAGCGUGGGGAGCGAACAGGAUUAGAUACCCGUGUAGUCCCUGUCUCUUAUAA
rnacentral:rRNA from 1 species